rnacentral:sRNA from 1 species
UCACGACGUGUGCCCCCUGAGGCGGCGCU